GUAGUCGUGGCAGAAUGGUUAAGGCGACAGACUUGAAAUCUGUUGGGAUAUUCCCGCGCAGGUUCAAAUCCUUCCGACUACG
rnacentral:tRNA from 1 species